UAUCGUUAAGCUUGUAGGCGUGCAUUGCUGUCCAUUAUAAAAAAAAAUCUAUAUUUAAUUAAACAUUCCGGCGCAGUCGAUUUGAAUGUUUCCCAUCGUUUGAUUUGGGUUCGAUUUUGAUCCUAAAUCUAUGCCGGAUUUUGCCGCUAGCACUCUUCAUCUUGAUUCCGAAUGGCACUAAAUGUUCCAACGGUUGAUCUCGUUGCCGUUCGACGUGCGAUGAUGGUUUGAUCCUUGGUGAAAGUUUCCUCCUGUUUAUGGUGACGGUUGCUGCUGCUUCUUGAACUAUCUGAUAAAGUGAAGCCUUUGCGUUGCGGUGAAUGGUGUGAAGCCUAGGGGUCGCCACAUUGGAGCUUUCCGGGAGCAACGAGUUCGAUCAAAUCCCUCUGUCUGUAUAACGGAAAAGAAAGAAAACAUAUUUCAUUAUUAGAGAAAAAAAAUAUGUUUAGCAUCAAGUAGUUUCUAUUGUAAGACUUUGUAACUUUAUUCCUCCUAGAUUUGAACUUAUAUCUGUUUGAGUUUGGAGGACCGACUUUUUUUCGCUGUAAGAUGAUCAUUUUCAACCUAGUUGACCUACUAGUAAAAUCUUUAAUCUGAGAGGUUUGUUUUGGAUAUUGUUUUCUUCUACGUUUGUUCCGGAUUUUUUGCAUGGUUUACGAGUAACCAUUCCGGUCCAUGAUUCUGUUGCCUUAAUUUUCUACGCUCGCUUAGUACCGUCAACCGUACUUUUCAACUUCAAUGGCUUCUUAAAACUUAAUGUCCACAGAUAAUCAUACCGCUUGUACAUCAAAAGAUUUAAGGUUAAUAGGACAUCAAAUCGCAGUAAUUUUUGGUUUUGUUUGAAUUGAAAUUUAUAUUUUUUCUGUCAAAAAUGUUUCUAAAGAAAAAGCAUAAGUGUACUGCAUACAUUUAGGGGUAAAAAAUACUACAAAAAUUCUACUAGCUGAAAUCAUAAAAAUUGAUGAUUGGAGGAUGAAAUUUUGAAAUUAACAAAUGCGUGAUGCAAAACAAUCAUAUUCCAGCAUAUGGAAACGAGAUUUAGAAGGUGAAUCUUUGAUUUGCUUAUUGUUGCAUUUUUGCUCAGACUGGUUACAGAAUUAUAGAAAAAAUUGUUGAUUAUCCGAAACAAUUUUUUACACCAACAGUGUUGAUAUAGGAUAAUUAAAUCAAUAUAAAGUUUGUAGGUGAUGCCAUUAAGCUGUCAUACAGGGUAAAGUUUUUAACGGCAUCGAAAAAAUUAAAAACAA